GAAUUGACGGGGGCCCGCACAAGCGGUGGAGCAUGUGGUUUAAUUCGAUGCAACGCGAAGAACCUUACCUGGUCUUGACAUCCACGGAAGUUUUCAGAGAUGAGAAUGUGCCUUCGGGAACCGUGAGACAGGUGCUGCAUGGCUGUCGUCAGCUCGUGUUGUGAAAUGUUGGGUUAAGUCCCGCAACGAGCGCAACCCUUAUCCUUUGUUGCCAGCGGUCCGGCCGGGAACUCAAAGGAGACUGCCAGUGAUAAACUGGAGGAAGGUGGGGAUGACGUCAAGUCAUCAUGGCCCUUACGACCAGGGCUACACACGUGCUACAAUGGCGCAUACAAAGAGAAGCGACCUCGCGAGAGCAAGCGGACCUCAUAAAGUGCGUCGUAGUCCGGAUUGGAGUCUGCAACUCGACUCCAUGAAGUCGGAAUCGCUAGUAAUCGUGGAUCAGAAUGCCACGGUGAAUACGUUCCCGGGCCUUGUACACACCGCCCGUCACACCAUGGGAGUGGGUUGCAAAAGAAGUAGGUAGCUUAACCUUCGGGAGGGCGCUUACCACUUUGUGAUUCAUGACUGGGGUG
rnacentral:rRNA from 1 species